rnacentral:rRNA from 1 species
GCGUGGGUGAAGAAGGUCUUCGGAUCGUAAAGCCCUUUCGACGGGGACGAUGAUGACGGUACCCGUAGAAGAAGCCCCGGCUAACUUCGUGCCAGCAGCCGCGGUAAUACGAAGGGGGCUAGCGUUGCUCGGAAUUACUGGGCGUAAAGGGCGCGUAGGCGGUCAUUUGAGUCAGGCGUGAAAUUCCCGGGCUUAACCUGGGGACUGCGCUUGAUACUGGGUGACUUGAGGGUGGAAGAGGGUCGUGGAAUUCCCAGUGUAGAGGUGAAAUUCGU